CAGAGAAUAGUUUAAUAUUAAAAAUACUGGUUUUGGGGACCAGAGAUGGGUGUCCUUCUUUGA
rnacentral:tRNA from 1 species